rnacentral:rRNA from 1 species
GAUGAACGCUAGCGAUAGGCUUAACACAUGCAAGUCGAGGGGCAGCAUGGUCUUAGCUUGCUAAGACUGAUGGCGACCGGCGCACGGGUGCGUAACGCGUAUGCAACUUGCCUCACAGAGGGGGAUAACCCGUCGAAAGACGGACUAAUACCGCGUACACUUGGGAUAGGGCAUCCUGACCCAAGGAAAUGAAAUUCGCUGUGAGAUAGGCAUGCGUCCCAUUAGCUAGUUGGUGAGGUAACGGCUCACCAAGGCGACGAUGGGUAGGGGAACUGAGAGGUUGAACCCCCACACUGGUACUGAGACACGGACCAGACUCCUACGGAAGGCAGCAGUGAGGAAUAUUGGGCAAGGGGCGAGAGCCUGAACCAGCCAAGUCGCGUGAAGGAUGACUGUCUUAUGGAUUGUAAACUUCUUUUAUACGGGAAUAACAAGAGUCACGUGUGGCUCCCUGCAUGUACCGUAUGAAUAAGCAUCGGCUAACUCCGUG